rnacentral:rRNA from 1 species
AGCGAACGCUAGCGGCGGGCUUAACACAUGCAAGUCGUGCGCUCUUCGGAGAGCGGCGAACGGGUGAGUAACACGUGGAUUACCUGCCCUUUGGAGGGGGAUAACCCGGGGAAACCCGGGCUAAUACCGCGUAUGGCCUACGGGUCAGAGCCUUCGGGCGCCAAAGGAUGGGUCCGCGGCCCAUUAUUUAAUCCUGGUUGGUGAGGUAACGGCUCACCAAGGGUACGAUGGGUAGCUGGUCUGAGAGGACGAUCAGCCACACUGGGACUGAGACACGGCCCAGACUCCUACGGGAGGCAGCAGUGGGGAAUAUUGCGCAAUGGGCGGAAGCCUGACGCAGCCACGCCGCGUGAGUGAUGAAGGCCUUCGGGUUGUAAAGCUCUGUCGGGAGGGAAGAAGAUCUGACGGUACCUCCCAAGAAAGCACCGGCUAACUCCGUGCCAGCCGCCGCGGUAA